rnacentral:rRNA from 1 species
AGAGUUUGAUCCUGGCUCAGGACGAACGCUGGCGGCGCGCCUAACACAUGCAAGUCGAACGAGCGAGAGAGAGCUUGCUUUCUCGAGCGAGUGGCGAACGGGUGAGUAACGCGUGAGGAACCUGCCUCAAAGAGGGGGACAACAGUUGGAAACGACUGCUAAUACCGCAUAAGCCCACGGGUCGGCAUCGACCAGAGGGAAAAGGAGCAAUCCGCUUUGAGAUGGCCUCGCGUCCGAUUAGCUAGUUGGUGAGGUAACGGCCCACCAAGGCGACGAUCGGUAGCCGGACUGAGAGGUUGAACGGCCACAUUGGGACUGAGACACGGCCCAGACUCCUACGGGAGGCAGCAGUGGGGGAUAUUGCACAAUGGGGGAAACCCUGAUGCAGCGACGCCGCGUGGAGGAAGAAGGUCUUCGGAUUGUAAACUCCUGUUGUUGAGGAAGAUAAUGACGGUACUCAACAAGGAAGUGACGGCUAACUACGUGCCAGCAGCCGCGGUAAAACGUAGGUCACAAGCGUUGUCCGGAAUUACUGGGUGUAAAGGGAGCGCAGGCGGGAAGACAAGUUGGAAGUGAAAUCCAUGGGCUCAACCCAUGAACUGCUUUCAAAACUGUUUUUCUUGAGUAGUGCAGAGGUAGGCGGAAUUCCCGGUGUAGCGGUGGAAUGCGUAGAUAUCGGGAGGAACACCAGUGGCGAAGGCGGCCUACUGGGCACCAACUGACGCUGAGGCUCGAAAGUGUGGGUAGCAAACAGGAUUAGAUACCCUGGUAGUCCACACCGUAAACGAUGAUUACUAGGUGUUGGAGGAUUGACCCCUUCAGUGCCGCAGUUAACACAAUAAGUAAUCCACCUGGGGAGUACGACCGCAAGGUUGAAACUCAAAGGAAUUGACGGGGGCCCGCACAAGCAGUGGAGUAUGUGGUUUAAUUCGA